rnacentral:lncRNA from 1 species
AUAUACAUACUAAACAUAUCAUCAUAACGUAGUGGAGUACAUGUCAGAAAUCAGAUGACACCCGAAGGUGACCAGAUGACACCCGAAGGUGACCACUAUGGGAUGAUCAGUCGCCACAGACUGAUGCCUCUCUCACCAGCUAGGUAUACAGAAUACUAUGUGCACACAGGCUAACUACUCUCCGUUAGCAUGGAGUUACUGACAAGUCCCAUAUCAAGGCAUAAUAGAUAUUCACAUAAUCAUCAAAGAAACGUAUAUCAUAUCAAAUAGAAUUUACUUUGACAGAUUGCGAGUGCAAAUUCAAGAAUAAAUGAGUACUCGGAAAAUAAGCAACAUAUAUAAUUAUUCAAGAAAUUAACGAGUUGUACUCAUUGUAUAAUCAACAUACAUAUUUACUUAUCAUAU